UUGGCAGCGUCAUUGACAUUGUUCUAGGAAACAACUCGUGAUUCCAAUGGCGGCGAUAAGUGGUUGUGAGUCCGAGUGUAAAGGUCUUGAUUUUGAAGAUGAUAGGAAAGCGAGUGAAGAAUGACAAGCUUCUAUCUUGGUUCGAACCUUAGGGCUUUUUCUACUCCCAUAAUUCGAUGAAGAUUGAGGAGACAUUAGCAGUAGCAGGGAAAGGAACGUCAAAGAUAGAGUUGCAUUCCAAACAAAGUGAAAGGUAGAGAAUAUGGACGAUGGGUACAAGUUUAGAAAGUAUAGGAAGAAGAUGGUGAAGAACAGCCCCAACCAAAGGAACCAAAGAAGUCAAAAACUAAUUGGAGUGCUUGGGAAUUAGGAAGUAGCGAAGCCAAAGAAGUUGAGAACUCAUUUGGUCAGGAUGAUUGUUGGAAAACUAAAUUUAACGAUAAAGAUAAGCAUCAAAUAUGGAAGAAGGAACACAAGCAAUGCCUAACUUUUGAUAAAUUAUACAAGCAAACUUGCGAACUAAAUCAGGAAAAGUCAAAGGAAGAAGUAGCGAGGAAGGAGAGAGAGAAAAUAGAGUAGCUAUGAACGCUACCUCACUUGUGUAUUAUCUUGUUGUAAUGUAAUUAUCAUAUAUUAUCUUGUUGUGAUGUAGUUAUGCUGU